AUGCCCGAAAGGGUGACGAAGCGACGCCGCGUGGGUGAGGAAGGCCCUCGGGUUGUAAAGCCCUGUCAGGAGUUAAGAAAUGUAGGUGUGCUAAUAUCACGCCUAUUUGACGAAGGCUCCAAAGGAAGUCACGGCUAACUCUGUGCCAGCAGCCGCGGUAAUACAGAGGUGGCAAGCGUUGUUCGGAAUUAUUGGGCGUAAAGAGCACGUAGGUGGGUUUGUAAGUCAGAUGUGAAAGCCUCCUGUUCAACGGGAGAAUUGCAUCUGAAACUACUGAUCUUGAGUGUAGGAGGGGAGAAUGGAACUUCUGGUGGAGCGGUGAAAUGCGUAGAUAUCAGAAGGAACGCCGGCGGCGAAAGCGAUUCUCUGGCCUAUUACUGACACUCAGUGUGCGAAAGCUAGGGGAGCAAACGGGAUUAGAUACCCCGGUAGUCCUAGCCGUAAACGAUGGGCACUAAGUAGAGGGGU
rnacentral:rRNA from 1 species